rnacentral:rRNA from 1 species
AGUGAACGCUGGCGGUAGGCCUAACACAUGCAAGUCGAACGGCAGCACAGUAAGAGCUUGCUCUUACGGGUGGCGAGUGGCGGACGGGUGAGGAAUACAUCGGAAUCUACUUUUUCGUGGGGGAUAACGUAGGGAAACUUACGCUAAUACCGCAUACGACCUACGGGUGAAAGCAGGGGAUCUUCGGACCUUGCGCGAUUGAAUGAGCCGAUGUCGGAUUAGCUAGUUGGCGGGGUAAAGGCCACCAAGGCGACGAUCCGUAGCUGGUCUGAGAGGAUGAUCAGCCACACUGGAACUGAGACACGGUCCAGACUCCUACGGGAGGCAGCAGUGGGGAAUAUUGGACAAUGGGCGCAAGCCUGAUCCAGCCAUACCGCGUGGGUGAAGAAGGCCUUCGGGUUGUAAAGCCCUUUUGAUGGGAAAGAAAAGCAGCAGGUUAAUACCCCGCUGUUCUGACGGUACCCAAAGAAUAAGCACCGGCUAACUUCGUG